rnacentral:rRNA from 1 species
CGGAGGCUACCGCUAUUGGAGUUCGAUUAAGCCAUGCGAGUCGCGAGUCUUAGGGACUCGGCGUACCGCUCAGUAACACGUGGGUAACCUGCCCUAUGCUGGGGAAUAACCUCGGGAAACUGAGAAUAAUGCCCCAUAGUUCACCACGCCUGGAACGGUGGGUGGAUGAAAGCUCCGGCGGCAUAGGAUGGGCCUGCGGCGUAUCAGGUCGUAGGGGGUGUAAUGUACCCUCUAGCCAUCGACGCGUACGGGUGUUGGGAGACAUUGCCCGGAGAUGGAUUCUGAGACACGAAUCCAGACCCUACGGGGUGCAGCAGGCGCGAAAACUUGGCAAUGCGAGAAAUCGUGACCAGGGAACUCCAAGUGCAUCGGGUAAGACCGAUGCUUUUCUUGACUCUUCAAAGGUCUUGGAAUAAGGGGUGGGUAAGGACGGUGCCAGCCGCCGCGGUAAUACCGGCGCCUCAAGUGGUAGUCGCUUUUAUUGGGCCUAAAACGUCCGUAGCCGGUUUGGUACAUUCGUGGGUAAAUCAAGGCGCUCAACGUCUUGAAUUCUGCGAGCGCGGCCAGACUUGGGACCGGGUGAGGUGUGGGGUACUCUCAGGGUAGGGGUAAAAUCCUGUCAUCCUGAGAGGACCACCUGUUGCGAAGGCGCCACACUAGAACGGAUCCGACGGUCAGGGACGAAGCCUAGGGGCACGAACCGGAUUAGAUACCCGGGUAGUCCUAGGUGUAAACGCUGUGGACUUGAUGUUGGGAGUGCUCCGAGCACCCUCAGUGUCGAAGCGAAGGUGAUAAGUCCACUGCCUGGGGAGUACGGUCGCAAGGCUGAAACUUAAAGGAAUUGGCGGGG